UACGAAGGGUGCAAGCGUUCCUCGGAAUCACUGGGCGUAAAGCGUGCGUAGGCGGUUGAUUAAGUCUGCUGUGAAAGCCCUGGGCUCAACCUGGGAACUGCAGUGGAUACUGGUCAGCUAGAGUGUGAUAGAGGAUGGUGGAAUUCCCGGUGUAGCGGUGAAAUGCGUAGAGAUCGGGAGGAACACCAGUGGCGAAGGCGGCCAUCUGGAUCAACACUGACGCUGAGGCACGAAAGCGUGGGGAGCAAACAGG
rnacentral:rRNA from 1 species